AAAUUGAAGAGUUUGAUCAUGGCUCAGAUUGAACGCUGGCGGCAGGCCUAACACAUGCAAGUCGAACGGUAACAGGAAGCAGCUUGCUGCUUUGCUGACGAGUGGCGGACGGGUGAGUAAUGUCUGGGAAACUGCCUGAUGGAGGGGGAUAACUACUGGAAACGGUGGCUAAUACCGCAUAACGUCGCAAGACCAAAGAGGGGGACCUUCGGGCCUCUUGCCAUCAGAUGUGCCCAGAUGGGAUUAGCUUGUUGGUGAGG
rnacentral:rRNA from 2 species